ensembl:lncRNA
AAUAAUCAGUGAACACUGAGAACCACUGGGCUAACAACUGCGGUUCUCAACCCUGCAUGAGAAUCACUUGGGGCACUUUGUUGUAAAACUACCAAUGCCUGGGUCCCCUCAAAGCAGUUAAAUAAGAUAUUUUUGAUGAGCUCUUGGAUCAUUCUAAUGUGUGAGAACCAGGGCAAGGAAGUGAAAAUCUCAUAUUCUUUGGGAGAGUGAUGUUAGAUGGGCUGAUGAUACCACCGAGGCAGGGGAGGCCAGGGGACACUGCCAAGGGCAGUGGGGGCUUUUGCUGUGAUUCAUAUUUCAGACUCCUGGAGGGGGUUCCCUCACAAACAGUCCCUGCCCAAGUCUGGCAAGCAGUCAUAGUAAGAUAAACUCUGCUGCACAACAAGGUCAGGCAGGGUGGUAAGGGGGAGGGGUGGCAGUGCACAGUUGCAGGGUUUCAACUUUCUGAGCUGUUCUACCCUGGGUGAUAUGAACAAGACCCAGAAGUUCCCACACACACUCAAGAUGAGACUCAGGAACUCAAUGAACUGACAGCAGAAGCACUGUCAUGGUGCCCAUUGUUCAAGAGCCAAGAUGCUACCUUGUCAGAAACAGAAGGAAAGGCAAAAUCUGAGAGACAACCCACUUCACCCACAGAGAAUAUUCUCAUUUUUGCCCUGGACUAAAGUCACAAGAUUAAGCUAAAUUUUCCCAGCACUCCUAAGCAGGGAAAAGGAGAUACAGAAAAUUUCUGGGUAAGUCAAAUUGUUCUGGAAAAAGUAAGAAUUCUACCAAAAAGAAGACUGGAUGAACACCUGAGAUUAUACACUACAAGCAGAAGGAAAAAUGGCCCACUAUUGUGUGGCAAAGCAAUGGAUUGGCCAAGAAUCCCAAGAGGAGAGCUGUUUACCAGACUGGAUCCCCACCUCUGGAAGAUGAAGCCUCUGGAUAAUUCCAGCACUUGUAUUUCAUUGGGUUAUUCCAUGAGUAUUUAGCUUAACUCUGUGUCGGGCCCUAUUUAAGGACCUGGGGAUAUAGCAAUGAACAAAACAGACAAAAAUGCCUGACCUGACACAUGUUACAGUUUCAGGGAUAAUGAGACAGACAAUAGACCAAAUAAAUAAGUAGAAAUAUGUGAUUUUUUUGUAUAGUGUUAAGAGCUAUAGAUAAAAAAUUAUAUGGAAAAAGGAGACGGGGAAUGUCCAUGGUGGGGUUAUUGUUUUAAAUAGGAUGAUUCAAGAAAGCGUAACAGAGAGGGUGACUUUUUAGCAACAGUCUUGAGGAGAUGAGGAGGCAAGCCAUGUUGCUAUCAAGGAGAAGCACUCCUGGCAAAAGGCAGGCAGAUGCAAAAGCCCUAAGGUGAGGAGGUGCCUGGAAUGUUCGAGGGACAGUGUGGGUUAACGGGGAGGAGCAGGAGAUGAGUCAAUAAGUGGAUGCGCACAAGUGCCAGAAGGAAACCACUCUGCUUCAGUCCAAGCCGAUUCACCUGCAUUUUCAGCUUUCCCAGACAGCUUAUCACACAGGAAGUCACCAAACCCACCACUACCGGCACUAAAAGAAGGCACCUAUAAAGGACUUUCAGCUUUUUCUUAAGAUCCUCAUUUACUGCGAAAGCUUUCUCGUUAGUUGUGAGAAAAAUUACCCCAGAUUACUUCAAAACAUUAAAGUGCUGGAGAAAAACAAACCUGGCCAACUGGCACUUAAUACUGACAAAGUCCCCCAAUUUAUCAAUCAUGCUUUAAGGAAAUAGGGGUCAUAGCUGAAGAGCUCCAAGUAAUUACUAGUGAGGAUGCUGGACCAAGUGUUAAAUGGCCAAGAAAGCAAGAGAGUCACUGGGAAGAGAAGAAUGGUGGAUGUUUUUUGCUUAUCUUUCCUGCAUCUAUUACUCCUCCGCUGCCCUCCCCAGAGCUCUCAGUUUCUAUUUCCAAGUGCGAGUGUGCUCAGUUGUGUCCAGCUCUUUUUGUGACCCUAUCGGUUGUAGCCUGCCAAGUUCCUCUGUCCAGGGGAUUCUCCAGGCAAGAAUACUGGAGUGGGUUGCCA